GUUUGUUUGGUUAACUCAAUUUAUUUGUAUUAACGUUUUUCGUUAUUAAUAAAAGUGAAGUUAUUCAUUAAAUGCUCACUAAAAACAAUCCGCAUUUUGAUAUCCUCUUUCAUAGCUUUAUUGUUGGAAUAAGUGUGGUUCUUAACAUAGAAUGAUAUUUUCUGACCACACAAAACGACAUUGUAUAUACGAUUUCCACGUUUUUCCACAGCCACUCGAAAAGUGAAAUCUUUGUAAACAUUUUUCGAAAACGCAAACUUGAACAUGGGUCUGUUAUCAAGGAUCUAGUAAAUGAGAAUUAUUUCAAUCUUCUGUAA
rnacentral:lncRNA from 1 species